AGUUGAUAUGACAGUUAUAAAGUUGAGAGAAGAGGGAGUUGACUCAUACAGGAGGUGUAACUGCUGAUGGACUGAAGAAAACACAAUGAUCCACUGCAACAAGGUUUAACCAAACAGCCAGAGACCACAAAAUGAUUGUCCUAUUUUAUUUUAUCUUCAGCGCGACUUUAAACAAUAUUUUGGUUUCAGGUUCCUCUCUCAGUCACAAAGUCCAGCAGAGUCCAGCUAACAUUUACAACAAACCAGCAGAAACAGCCAAAAUCACCAAUUAACAAGUCGCAACCUCCCAUGAUGUCAACAAUUGGUUUGUGAAAUACCUUCUUGAAACCACCAUCUUUAUUUUUCCCUUUUGAAACCAGGAGCAGCCAUACAGGAGCAAGACUUAGAGCCUACACCUGCCAUUGAAUGAGAGUUGCUGUUAAUCACAUGGUUUCCAGGCCCCAUUGCAAAAAGUAAUUUUUCAUCUGUUUGACUCUAAAUGGGACCAUCAUGCUAUAAUGAGGAAGACUUGGAACCUGCGAUUGAGACUGUAAACUCCUUAGGAAAAUGGUCUAUGCCAGUUUAACCACCAUGAAAACACAGACAGAUUUACAUGUGGUGACACUCCCACCUUCAACUCUUCAUGACGCUGUAACAUACGAGGACUCAAACACUUUCUGACUGACAUGGAAAUUACCAGCAUCAAACAAGACCUUCUCAUAUCAUGUGUCCUUUUUCUGUGGACUACAGGUCUGUCUGAUGGCAACGAGGUCACCCAAACACCCAUACUGUGGAAAGACACGGGUGAAAAUGCAACAAUACACUGCAGCCACACCAAGGGUUCCACCUUUUUCCAGAUGUACUGGUACAGGCAGCUCCCGGGAGAGACGCUGAACCAAAUACUGUUUAUGUCUUCAAACAAAAAACGUGAAUAUGAACCUGGAUUCAGUGAAGGGAAGUUCUCAGCCACCAAGCCUGAUACGUACAGUGGGACAUUGACAGUAAAGAAUCUGGUGCAGGAUGACAAAGGCUUGUAUUUCUGUGCAGUCAGUAA